rnacentral:rRNA from 1 species
CGAUUAAGCCAUGCAAGUCGAGAGGGUUCGGCCCUCGGCGUACUACUCAGUAACACGUGGAUAACCUGCCCUAAGGAAGGGGAUAACCUCGGGAAACUGAGGAUAAUACCCUAUAGGUUACAGACGCUGGAAUGCCCUGUAACCGAAAGCUCCGGCGCCUUAGGAUGGAUCUGCGGCCGAUUAGGUUGUUGUUGGGGUAACGGCCCAACAAGCCGAUAAUCGGUACGGGUUGUGGGAGCAAGAGCCCGGAGUUGGAUUCUGAGACACGAAUCCAGGCCCUACGGGGCGCAGCAGGCGCGAAAACUUUACAAUGCGGGAAACCGUGAUAAGGGAACCUCGAGUGCCUGUAUAUGCAGGCUGUCCAGGUGUCUAAAAAACACCUGAAGAAAGGGCCGGGCAAGACCGGUGCCAGCCGCCGCGGUAAUACCGGCGGCUCGAGUGGUGGCCACUUUUAUUGGGCUUAAAGCGUUCGUAGCUGGGUUGUUAAGUCUCUUGGGAAAUCUGACGGCUCAACCGUCAGGCGUCCAAGGGAUACUGGCAAUCUUGGAACCGGGAGAGGUGAGGGGUACUUCGUGGGUAGGAGUGAAAUCCUGUAAUCCUCGAGGGACCACCUGUGGCGAAGGCGCCUCACCAGAACGGCUUCGACAGUGAGGGACGAAAGCUGGGGGAGCAAACCGGAUUAGAUACCCGGGUAGUCCCAGCCCUAAACGAUGCGCGUUAGGUGUAUCGGUGACCACGAGUCACCGAGGUGCCGAAGGGAAACCGUGAAACGUGCCGCCUGGGAAGUACGGUCGCAAGGCUGAAACUUAAAGGAAUUGGCGGGGGAGCA